rnacentral:rRNA from 1 species
CGCCUCUUGAUAAAAUAUAAGAGGUCCAGCCUGCCCAGUGACUCUGUUCAACGGCCGCGGUAUCCUAACCGUGCGAAGGUAGCGUAAUCACUUGUUCUUUAAAUGAGGACUAGUAUGAAUGGCACCACGAAGGUUACACUGUCUCUUCUUUCCAAUCAGUGAAACUAAUCUCCCCGUGAAGAAGCGAGGAUGAAAAUAUAAGACGAGAAGACCCUAUGGAGCUUUAAACCACGCAACAACUGCUUUGACUAAGCCAAAUUUCAGAAAACCCCUCCUUACCCUAACAGAAUGAUUGCCAGUUUUAGGUUGGGGUGACCGCGGAGCAAAAAGCAACCUCCACAUUGAAAGGGCGCCUGCCCUUAGCCAAGAACCACACCUCCACGCACCAAUAAAAUGACAUUAAUUGACCCAAUAUAUUGAUCAACGAACCAAGUUACCCUAGGGAUAACAGCGCAAUCCACUUCAAGAGCCCCUAUCGACAAGUGGGUUUACGACCUCGAUGUUGGAUCAGGGUAUCCCGGUGGUGCAGCCGCUACCAAAGGUUCGUUUGUUCAACGAUUAAAACCCU